GCCAGCAGCCAUAUCACUCUGCAGCCCAAGACUGGUUGCCCGCUGAAGCUAAGCAGGGUUGAGCCUGGUCAGUACCUGGAUGGGAGACAUCCUGGGAAAACUAGGUUGCUGCUGGAA
rnacentral:rRNA from 1 species